rnacentral:pre_miRNA from 1 species
AAUAAGUGCAGUUUUAUACUAUUCACGUUCAACGUUUGACCGUCCGUCUUAUUUGAAAAUUUUUUAUGAUUAGUAUUUUUAUUGCUAUUAGAUGAUAAAACAUGAAUAGUACUUUAUGUGUGACUAAAUGUUUUUAAUUUUUUCACAAAUUUUUCAAAUAAGACGGACGGUCAAACGUUGAACGUGAAUAGUGCAAAACUGUACUUAUU